CCUACGGGAGGCAGCAGUGAGGAAUAUUGGUCAAUGGGCGCAAGCCUGAACCAGCCAAGUCGCGUGAGGGAUGACGGUCCUAUGGAUUGUAAACCUCUUUUGUCGGGGAGCAAGGCCCGCCACGUGUGGCGGGAAGGAGAGUACCCGAAGAAAAAGCAUAGGCUAACUCCGUGCCAGCAGCCGCGGUAAUACGGAGGAUGCGAGCGUUAUCCGGAUUUAUUGGGUUGAAAGGGUGCGUAGGCGGAAGGUUAAGUCAGCGGUAAAAUGUCGGUGAUCAACACCGGCCUGCCGUUGAAACUGGUCUUCUUGAGUGAGCGAGAAGUAUGCGGAAUGCGUGGUGUAGCGGUGAAAUGCAUAGAUAUCACGCAGAACCCCGAUUGCGAAGGCAGCAUACCGGCGCUCAACUGACGCUGAGGCACGAAAGCGUGGGGAUCGAACAGGAUUAGAUACCCGGGUAGUC
rnacentral:rRNA from 1 species